rnacentral:lncRNA from 10 species
CUUCGCAGUCACGAACUCGCCAGCAGCUAGCAGCACUGACUAGUAGGAGGGCCCGCCGGAGGAGAGGAAGCCCCAGAGAGAUUGGUGAGGGUGAUUUCCCAGGAAGACGCAGUGUGCUCUGACUUCUGUGACAGUGAGCAACGGGACCAGUGGAUGUCCAGAUGCUGGCAAUGAGACAUGCUCUGGAGUCAGAAGACAGCGAAAAGAGAAGCAGAAGCCCCGGUGGCAAGAGUCUGAAGGAAGGAUGACUGUAGCCUGUGGAUUGUACUGCAGUAGGAAACUGUCCUAGCAAGGCUCCACUUUGCCCCAGCUUCAAGCUGGAAAGGAGGAGAACAUGAAACAUUGCUUGAAGACAAUGGCCGAGACAGCAGGUCCCACCCUGCACAGCCACCAGCAUCUCUCCCCUCAGCCCUGUCUCCUCUUCUGCAGUUGGGAUCUGCACAUUUAAGCCUGAAAUUGUCCUGUGAAGUGAAGUAUGAUCGGACAGCCUCUUUUCAGCUUUUAUGACAAUGGAGACAGAGGAAUUGUGGCUCUUGCCAAGGUCACAGGAU